GCAAGUCGAACGAGAAAUUUUUCCUUCGGGAGAAAGAGUACAGUGGCGCACGGGUGAGUAACGCGUAGAUAAUCUACCCUGGUGUUCGGGAUAACAUCGCGAAAGCGGUGCUAAUACCGGAUACGCUCCUUCGGGAGGAAAGAUGGGGAGCCUUCGGGGCCUAUCGCAUUGGGAUGAGUCUGCGUACCAUUAGCUAGUUGGUGGGGUAAGGGCCUACCGAGGCGACGAUGGUUAGCGGGUCUGAGAGGAUGAUC
rnacentral:rRNA from 1 species